UAAUACGUAGGGUGCAAGCGUUGUCCGGAAUUACUGGGCGUAAAGGGCUCGUAGGCGGCCAACUAAGUCGGAUGUGAAAUCCCCAGGCUCAACUUGGGAACUGCAUCCGAUACUGGAUGGCUUGAAUUCGGGAGAGGGAUGCAGAAUUCCAGGUGUAGCGGUGAAGUGCGUAGAUAUCUGGAGGAAUACCGGUGGCGAAGGCGGCAUCCUGGACCGGCAUUGACGCUGAUGAGCGAAAGCUAGGGGAGCAAACGG
rnacentral:rRNA from 1 species